AGAAUCAACGCUGGCGGCGUGCCUAACACAUGCAAGUCGAACGAGAAAGUGGAGCAAUCCAUGAGUAAAGUGGCGACCGGGUGAGUAACACGUGACUAACCUACCUUCGAGUGGGGGAUAACCUCGGGAAAACCGAGGCUAAUACCGCAUAACAUCGCAAGAUCAAAGCAGCAAUGCGCUGGAAGAGGGGGUCGCGGCUGAUUAGCUAGUUGGCGGGGUAAUGGCCCACCAAGGCGAAGAUCGGUAGCCGGCCUGAGAGGGCGCACGGCCACACUGGAACUGAAACACGGUCCAGACUCCUACGGGAGGCAGCAGUGGGGAAUUUUGCGCAAUGGGGGAAACCCUGACGCAGCAACGCCGCGUGGAGGAUGAAGCCCCUUGGGGUGUAAACUCCUUUCGACCAAGACGAUAAUGACGGUACUGGUGAAGAAGCACCGGCUAACUCUGUGCCAGCAGCCGC
rnacentral:rRNA from 1 species